rnacentral:rRNA from 1 species
UACGUAGGGUGCAAGCGUUACUCGGAAUUACUGGGCGUAAAGCGUGCGCAGGCGGUUUGGUAAGACAGAUGUGAAAUCCCUGGGCUCAACCUAGGAAUUGCAUUUGUGACUGCCCGGCUAGAGUGUGUCAGAGGGGGGUAGAAUUCCACGUGUAGCAGUGAAAUGCGUAGAGAUGUGGAGGAAUACCGAUGGCGAAGGCAGCCCCCUGGGUCGAUACUGACGCUCAUGCACGAAAGCGUGGGGAGCAAACAGG